CCCUUACCCGAGCAACAAAAGUCUGUGCGGUCUCCCCUGUCUUCACCUAGCGCCUCUGGAGUGCAGACUCCAAGCUAUGUGCUGGGUCUGUUCCCAGCUUAAAAUGCCAGACGUCUUGGCCACCCCUCCGCAUCCCUGACUCUAAAGGUGGCACCACAACCUGGGUUCAGUUUUCCCUCCUGUGUCUCUGUCGCUUACCUUCUGGUGACUGGGGUUCCACCCAUGCGCAACCGAGGUUAACCGCUAAAGAUACCUGACUCUUGGCAAAUUACAGUUGAGAGGCUCAGCACACAUUUUGAGAGAGAGGCAAUUGCAGUUCAAGGCUGUGACCUUAAAGUCCUAAACAGUGUUUCCAUAGAGAACAAUACAUUUUCUGGAGGUGACUAAGGAAAACAGCCCCAGGCUUUGUCAGCUUGCAGAGUACUUUCCCUUACCAAAGACACUAGAAGAUGGAGAUGGAUGUGAAGGCUCUAUAUAGGCAUCAGAUCAACCUCUUCAAGUUCAAUGAGUUGUGUGUUGUCUUCAGCAAUGGGGCCCUGCUAUCUGUUUGUGCAGAGAACCCUAUUAUCUUGGCAACAUCCUGGGUUUUUUGGAGAUUUCCAUGGUAUCACCUGUGACCAACCACUCACCUCGAUAUAACUUAGUCAUGGUACAGAAAACCUUGGUACAAAGAGAUGGCCAGAUGAGACUCUUUAUUCCUCAUGGUUAGACGGCUUUCUUAGUUUCAUCUUUGCAUAUUUUAGGAAGUUUUGACUACACUAGGUUUCAGUACUACCCUCAAAUGUCCUUCAGUUCCAGCUGUUUCUCCCUACAUUCCCUACCUCAACCUUAUCUUCCCUCUGCUUCCCCAUCUGAUCAUCUCAUUCCUGUUCCUACCUGCCCCCUAGUCCACCCAUAAAAUCUAUUCCAUUUCCCCCUCUCAGGGAGAUCCACAUGCCUUUUCUAGUUCCUUCCUUCAUACCUGACCUCUCUGAAACUAUGAAUUGUUGCUCAGUUAUCAUUUAUUUAAUAGCUAAUAUUCACAUAUAAGCGAAUACAUACCAUACUUAUCUUUCCGAGUCUGGGUUACCUCACUCAGGAUGAAUUUUUCUAGAUCCAUUCACUUGCCUGCAAAUUU